UGCGCGCAAAAUGCAACAAGUCCAAGCACUCGCUUUAGGGAAGUCGGUUAAAAUCCAACACUGCCCCCGCAACGGUAAAAUGAAAAGCUUAUCUUUCAUAAAUCAUAGAGAUUUACAUCACUGCAUAGCCAUGUGGGAAGGUGGAUAAGUAGCUUUAUUAUAAGCACAUUUAAGUCCGGAAACCUGCUUGUUGCCCCUCAACUCA
rnacentral:ncRNA from 2 species